UAUACGGUGAACUGCGAAUGGCUCAUUAAAUCAGUUAUCGUUUAUUUGAUAGUACCUUACUACAUGGAUAACCGUGGUAAUUCUAGAGCUAAUACAUGCUAAAAACCCCGACUUCGGAAGGGGUGUAUUUAUUAGAUAAAAAACCAAUGCCCUUCGGGGCUCCUUGGUGAAUCAUAAUAACUUAACGAAUCGCAUGGCCUUGCGCCGGCGAUGGUUCAUUCAAAUUUCUGCCCUAUCAACUUUCGAUGGUAGGAUAGUGGCCUACCAUGGUAUCAACGGGUAACGGGGAAUUAGGGUUCGACUCCGGAGAGGGAGCCUGAGAAACGGCUACCACAUCCAAGGAAGGCAGCAGGCGCGCAAAUUACCCAAUCCCGACACGGGGAGGUAGUGACAAUAAAUACUGAUACAGGGCUCUUUUGGGUCUUGUAAUUGGAAUGAGUACAAUUUAAAUCCCUUAACGAGGAACAAUUGGAGGGCAAGUCUGGUGCCAGCAGCCGCGGUAAUUCCAGCUCCAAUAGCGUAUAUUAAAGUUGUUGCAGUUAAAAAGCUCGUAGUUGAACCUUGGGCCUGGCUGGCCGGUCCGCCUCACCGCGUGUACUGGUCCGGCCGGGCCUUUCCUUCUGGGGAACCUCAUGCCCUUCACUGGGCGUGCUGGGGAACCAGGACUUUUACUUUGAAAAAAUUAGAGUGUUCAAAGCAGGCCUUUGCUCGAAUACAUUAGCAUGGAAUAAUAGAAUAGGACGUGUGGUUCUAUUUUGUUGGUUUCUAGGACCGCCGUAAUGAUUAAUAGGGAUAGUCGGGGGCAUCAGUAUUCAAGCGUCAGAGGUGAAAUUCUUGGAUUGCUUGAAGACUAACUACUGCGAAAGCAUUUGCCAAGGAUGUUUUCAUUAAUCAGUGAACGAAAGUUAGGGGAUCGAAGACGAUCAGAUACCGUCGUAGUCUUAACCAUAAACUAUGCCGACUAGGGAUCGGACGGUGUUAGUAUUUUGACCCGUUCGGCACCUUACGAGAAAUC
rnacentral:rRNA from 1 species